AACGAACGCCGGCGGCAUGCCUAACACAUGCAAGUCGAACGAAGGCUUCGGCCUUAGUGGCGCACGGGUGCGUAACGCGUGGGAAUCUGCCCCUCGGUUCGGAAUAACAGUUAGAAAUGACUGCUAAUACCGGAUGAUGACUUCGGUCCAAAGAUUUAUCGCCGAGGGAUGAGCCCGCGUAAGAUUAGGUAGUUGGUGGGGUAAAGGCCUACCAAGCCGACGAUCUUUAGCUGGUCUGAGAGGAUGAUCAGCCACACUGGGACUGAGACACGGCCCAGACUCCUACGGGAGGCAGCAGUGGGGAAUAUUGGACAAUGGGCGAAAGCCUGAUCCAGCAAUGCCGCGUGAGUGAUGAAGGCCUUAGGGUUGUAAAGCUCUUUUACCAGGGAUGAUAAUGACAGUACCUGGAGAAUAAGCUCCGGCUAACUCCGUGCCAGCAGCCGCUGUAA
rnacentral:rRNA from 1 species